AGAGAUGUGGCUCUGUUGGUAGAGUACUUGUCUGGCAUGCAUGAAACCCUGAGUUCAACCCCCAGCAACCGUA
rnacentral:tRNA from 1 species